GGGUUAGUAGGUUGGUCAUGCCUCUGGUAUGUACUGGUCUCACUGAUUCCUCCUUCCUGAUGAACCUUAAUGCCAUUAAUUUGGUGUUUUGGGGAAUUUGGACUGUUACUUUGAAAAAAUUAGAGUGUUUAAAGCAAGCUAACGCUUGAAUACAUUAGCAUGGAAUAAUGAAAUAGGACGUUCGAUCCUAUUUUGUUGGUUUCUAGGAUUGACGUAAUGAUUAAUAGGGAUAGUUGGGGGCAUUAGUAUUCAAUUGUCAGAGGUGAAAUUCUUGGAUUUAUUGAAGACUAACUACUGCGAAAGCAUUUGCCAAGGAUGUUUUCAUUAAUCAAGAACGAAAGUUAGGGGAUCGAAGACGAUCAGAUACCGUCGUAGUCUUAACCAUAAACUAUGCCGACUAGGGAUCGGAUGAUGUUAAUUUUUUAAUGACUCAUUCGGCACCUUAC
rnacentral:rRNA from 1 species